AGAGUUUGAUCAUGGCUCAGAUUGAACGCUGGCGGCAGGCCUAACACAUGCAAGUCGAACGGUAACAGGAAGAAGCUUGCUUCUUUGCUGACGAGUGGCGGACGGGUGAGUAAUGUCUGGGAAACUGCCUGAUGGAGGGGGAUAACUACUGGAAACGGUAGCUAAUACCGCAUAACGUCGCAAGACCAAAGAGGGGGACCUUCGGGCCUCUUGCCAUCGGAUGUGCCCAGAUGGGAUUAGCUAGUAGGUGGGGUAACGGCUCACCUAGGCGACGAUCCCUAGCUGGUCUGAGAGGAUGACCAGCCACACUGGAACUGAGACACGGUCCAGACUCCUACGGGAGGCAGCAGUGGGGAAUAUUGCACAAUGGGCGCAAGCCUGAUGCAGCCAUGCCGCGUGUAUGAAGAAGGCCUUCGGGUUGUAAAGUACUUUCAGCGGGGAGGAAGGGAGUAAAGUUAAUACCUUUGCUCAUUGACGUUACCCGCAGAAGAAGCACCGGCUAACUCCGUGCCAGCAGCCGCGGUAAUACGGAGGGUGCAAGCGUUAAUCGGAAUUACUGGGCGUAAAGCGCACGCAGGCGGUUUGUUAAGUCAGAUGUGAAAUCCCCGGGCUCAACCUGGGAACUGCAUCUGAUACUGGCAAGCUUGAGUCUCGUAGAGGGGGGUAGAAUUCCAGGUGUAGCGGUGAAAUGCGUAGAGAUCUGGAGGAAUACCGGUGGCGAAGGCGGCCCCCUGGACGAAGACUGACGCUCAGGUGCGAAAGCGUGGGGAGCAAACAGGAUUAGAUACCCUGGUAGUCCACGCCGUAAACGAUGUCGACUUGGAGGUUGUGCCCUUGAGGCGUGGCUUCCGGAGCUAACGCGUUAAGUCGACCGCCUGGGGAGUACGGCCGCAAGGUUAAAACUCAAAUGAAUUGACGGGGGCCCGCACAAGCGGUGGAGCAUGUGGUUUAAUUCGAUGCAACGCGAAGAACCUUACCUGGUCUUGACAUCCACGGAAGUUUUCAGAGAUGAGAAUGUGCCUUCGGGAACCGUGAGACAGGUGCUGCAUGGCUGUCGUCAGCUCGUGUUGUGAAAUGUUGGGUUAAGUCCCGCAACGAGCGCAACCCUUAUCCUUUGUUGCCAGCGGUCCGGCCGGGAACUCAAAGGAGACUGCCAGUGAUAAACUGGAGGAAGGUGGGGAUGACAUCAAGUCAUCAUGGCCCUUACGACCAGGGCUACACACGUGCUACAAUGGCGCAUACAAAGAGAAGCGACCUCGCGAGAGCAAGCGGACCUCAUAAAGUGCGUCGUAGUCCGGAUUGGAGUCUGCAACUCGACUCCAUGAAGUCGGAAUCGCUAGUAAUCGUGGAUCAGAAUGCCACGGUGAAUACGUUCCCGGGCCUUGUACACACCGCCCGUCACACCAUGGGAGUGGGUUGCAAAAGAAGUAGGUAGCUUAACCUUCGGGAGGGCGCUUACCACUUUGUGAUUCAUGACUGGGGUGAAGUCGAAACAAGGUAACCGUAGGGGAACCUGCGGUUG
rnacentral:rRNA from 1 species